GAAAGUGGGGGAUCUUCGGACCUCACGCUAUUGGAUGAGCCUAAGUCGGAUUAGCUUGUUGGUAGGGUAAUGGCCUACCAAGGCGACGAUCCGUAGCUGGUCUGAGAGGACGAUCAGCCACACUGGGACUGAGACACGGCCCAGACUCCUACGGGAGGCAGCAGUGGGGAAUAUUGGACAAUGGGCGCAAGCCUGAUCCAGCAAUGCCGCGUGUGUGAAGAAGGCCUGCGGGUUGUAAAGCACUUUCAGUAGAGAAGAAAAGCCUAGGGUUAAUAGCCCCGAGUCUUGACGUAACCUACAGAAGAAGCACCGGCUAACUCCGUGCCAGCAGCCGCGGUAAUACGGAGGGUGCGAGCGUUAAUCGGAAUUACUGGGCGUAAAGCGCGCGUAGGCGGCUUUGUAAGUCGGAUGUGAAAGCCCCGGGCUUAACCUGGGAAUUGCAUUCGAUACUGCAUAACUAGAGUAUGGUAGAGGGGAAGUGGAAUUUCCGGUGUAGCGGUGAAA
rnacentral:rRNA from 1 species